rnacentral:rRNA from 1 species
GAUAACAAACGGUGGUGUCACAAAAUCGGAGGCCACGACUGUUUACUAAAAACACAAUUCAGAGCAAUGAUGAAAAUCAUAGUAUUCUGGAUGAAAUUUGCCCGAUGCCAUUAACAUAAAAGAGGUAAUGGGAAACUGUUACUAAUUGAAAGUCUGGUUAAUAGCGGUCUUAACUAUGAGGAUCCUAAGGUAGCAAAAUCAGUUGGCCAUUAAAUGUGGUCUGGUAUCAAUAGUGUAACGAUGGUCUCACUGUCUCUACAACUUGCUCAGUGAAAUUGAAUUAUCCGUGCAGAU